UUAAAGAGAGGACAUAAAACGGCUUUGCAGGACUUUUUUGAAGAAGAAGGUGAACUGUAUGGUCCAGGUAUAGCAGAUUGAUGAUAAGCAGAACAGCCGAAAUCAUGGCAGCAGUUGAGAAACUUUUUUUUUCUAUGUGUCCCUGUUGGCUGAUGUAAUUAAAAA
rnacentral:lncRNA from 1 species